GAAAGUGCAGCGUGCUUUCGAACAGAACAACGGAAGUGUAAGAAGUCAAGAGACAAAUGCAAGACCGCAAAUGCCGUUACUUUUUGAUUAGGGGUUUCUCUCUACUCAAUUGAUUACUUCAUCUCCCUUUGAAUUGAUUAGUGACCGGUUUUACCGUCCCACUUUGAACAGUAUUUGUUGGAAAAUAUUUUGCUGGAAUUAAUAGUAUUUAUGUACACAAUUUAAUUGUUGUGUGGUAUGUGUACUACCAACAUAACUCCAGCACAGAUGAGUUUGCACACUGAUGUGGCGAGUACACAGACGAUUGUUAAUUGGCCUAACUAAUCCUGCAUCUUGAUUGAGUCCACAUACACUUCCUAUUUCACUAUCUUCAAGUGUUUCUAACAUAUACCACCACUACUGCACCAGACACACUUGAGAACCCGAUCAAAGUGACCAAUACUAUUGAGCCAGACACUUGACUUGCCCAACAAGGUGGAGCAGAAAGGAUCACCAGAAAAUUGGGGUGAAUUAAUUAUAGGUCACUCAAACAUGGAGAAGUCUCUGGUCAUGCCCCAAGGAAGACUAGGUCGGUCUCAAAGGCAUCAUUGGUUGAUCCAGAAUCGCGCAUUAACUCUUCGCCAUGCAUGAUUCGCUGCUGGUGCUCAUGCUCCGACACAGUGCAUAGACGAGUUUGAACACUUAUGUGACGCACUUGAGAAGCUGAUCGAAGUGACCACUUCUAAUGCACCAGACACACUUGACUUGCCCAAGAAGGUAGAGCAGAAAGGAUCACCAGAAAAUGGGGGUGAAUUAUAGGUCCCUCAAGCAUGGAGGAGUCUCUCCUCAUGCCCCAAGGAAGACUAGGUCGGUCCCAAAGGCAUCAUUCGUUGAUUCAGACAAGCGCGAGGGCCGUUUCGUCGACUGUGGUGGUGAUCGUGGCUGUGGAGCCCGUAGAUGCGGAGAACGUGGUGGCGAACCGAGCAAGGACAUGCAUACCAACGUGGAGGGUAGGAUUCAGAUGCCACCGCUGUGUUCCAGCUCACCCGGGAGCUCGGCCACAAGACAGACGGCAAGGUCGGCGGUUGGGACCGAACUGCUCCGGGGCAAGAGUUUGCAAUGCCAUAGCUCACUCAAAGCGCAGCGUGCUUUUCAAACAGAACAACGGUAGUGUAUGAAGUCAAGACACAAACAUAAGAACGCAGACAUCAUUAGCUUUUUAUAGAGGGUUUUCUCUGUAGUCAAUUGAUUAGUUUGUCUCCCUUUGAAUUGAUCAGUGGCUGUUUUUAUCAUCCCUCUUUGAACAGCACGUGUGGGAAAAUCUUUU